rnacentral:rRNA from 1 species
AUUGAACGCUGGCGGCAUGCCUAACACAUGCAAGUCGAACGAGUGGCGGACGGGUGAGUAAUGUCUGGGAAACUGCCUGCUGGUGGGGGAUAACUACUCGAAACGGUAGCUAAUACCGCAUACUAUUAGAUGUGCCCAGAUGGGAUUAGCUAGUUGGUGGGGUAAAGGCUUACCAAGGCGACGAUCCCUAGCUGGUCUGAGAGGAUGAACAGCCACACUGGAAAGUAGACACGGGCCAAGCUCCUACGGGAGGGAGCAGGGGGGAAUAUUGCACAAUGGGCGCAAGCCUGAUGCAGCCAUGACGCGUGUAUGAAGAAGGCCGUAGGGUUGUAAAGGACUUUCGGCGGGGAGGCGUUACCCGCAGAAGAAGCACCGGCUAACUCCGUGCCAGCAGCCGCGGUAAUAC